CUGGAGAUGGGAUCAUUAUUCAUGCUUCACACUGACUCACAGAGAACUGAGUUAUGUGGUCACAACUCAUAUAAGGGAAACUGGGAGAUCUCAUCUUGCUGUAUUUUUGCAAAUAAAAAUUAAAACCUUAGUUUCCCAUAAAGAGGCAGCGUAAACAUCCGGCAGGGAAGAAUGGAAUUUUGGGGACAGUUAGCAGUCUUGAUUAUUAAUUAAGAGCAAAUAGUUCUUCCCUUGUAGCAUUCAUCACCAUCCCUCAAAAACACAAGUAAUAGAAAAAGCUGAGAUAGAGUUACCUUGGGAGAAUCAAGGAAUAACUUUGGUAAGCAUCACUUGGUGGGGAUACAAAGAUGGAAAGAGGAAGGCAAUGUAUGCUAGAAGGAUCAGAAGACAACCAUAGUUAGCUAAGAGGUCAUGAUUUAGCAACAAAUGAAACCAGACUUGUCUAACAAAUUUCUCAUCAACAAAUAUUGUACAAAAAAAAGUACUGAAUAAAAG
rnacentral:lncRNA from 1 species